rnacentral:lncRNA from 1 species
UGAAGGCUAAGAUACAAGACAAAGAGGGUAUCCCACCAGAUCAGCAGAGGCUUAUCUUUGCUGGAAAACAACUUGAAGAUGGCCGAACUCUGGCCGAUUACAAUAUCCAGAAGGAAUCCACCCUUCAUCUUGUCCUACGUUUGAGGGGAGGUAUGCAGAUCUUUGUGAAGACCCUUACAGGGAAGACAAUUACUUUGGAGGUAGAGAGCUCAGACACAAUUGACAAUGUGAAGGCUAAGAUACAAGACAAAGAGGGUAUCCCACCAGAUCAGCAGAGGCUCAUAUU